rnacentral:lncRNA from 1 species
GUUUAAAUUGUAAAACUUUUUCCGAGCAUUUUUGUAGCAGAACUCCAUGUUCUAAUAGCCCCGGCAAAGUUGUUUUUAAUACUUUUUCUCUACGAAUUUUCAUUAAAAUUUAAUUCCAUUUUAACUUUGUCAAUUUUCCCCAAAGAUAAAUUAAGACACACAGAGAGAUUGUCAUUUCCUGUUUGAAGUCUCAUUCCUGUGUACAAUGUCAGUCUUUUUUAUUUAGGCCUAUGCCAUUCCAUCAGGGUAAAUAACUUUCUAACUAGUCAUUUAAGAGCAACUCCCGGGAAACUGUGAUGCAAUCCCACAUAUCAGCCAGACUUCAAAAGCUGCCAGAUUAUUGUGAAAGGAGAAACACUGUUUUCGAAGGCUGCUGAUAAUGCCUAUUAGCCAGAAGAAAGAGCCUGAAUCAUUCAAAGGUUUUCCAUCUAGUAAAGAAGUGUGGUAAAAAUCUUGCCCAGAUCUGCAUGUGCUAAGCAUCUACGUAAGUUGGAGCAUCAUAUUAAUGACACCCAGUGAAGAAACGAAAGAAUGAAGUGUAAUUACUAUAUCAAAAAUCCACAGAAUGUGAAAGUAUAAAGGAAAACUCUCAGUAAGAUCAAGUAAGUCAUUCCAAACUGUCUGGCG